AUUGAACGCUGGCGGCAGGCCUAACACAUGCAAGUCGAGCGGAGCGGCGGACGGGUGAGUAAUGCAUAGGAAUCUGCCUGGUAGUGGGGGAUAACGUCCGGAAACGGGCGCUAAUAUCGCAUACUAUCAGCUGCGCCUAGGUCGAAUUAGCUAGUUGGUGGGGUAAAGGCCUACCAGGGCGACGAUCCGUAACUGGUCUGAGAGGAUGAUCAUCAACACUGGAACUGAGACACGUGCCAGAUUCGUACGGGAGGCAGCAGUGGGGAAUAUUCGAAAAUGGGCGAAAGCCUGAUCCAGCCAUGCCGCGUGUGUGAAGAAGGUCUUCGGAUUUUAAAGCACUUUAAGUUGGGAGACGUUACCAACAGAAGAAGCACCGGCUAACUCCGUGCCAGCAGCCGCGGAAAUU
rnacentral:rRNA from 1 species